UGAUGAUGGUGAUGUUGAUGGUGAUGAUGACGACGACGACGAAGAUAACGAUAACGAUUAUUAUUAUUAUCAUCAACAUCAUCAUCAUCAUCAUUUAAA
rnacentral:pre_miRNA from 1 species